ACUCCUACGGGAGGCAGCAGUGGGGAAUCUUGGACAAUGGGCGCAAGCCUGAUCCAGCCAUGCCGCGUGAGUGAUGAAGGCCUUAGGGUCGUAAAGCUCUUUCGCCAGGGAUGAUAAUGACAGUACCUGGUAAAGAAACCCCGGCUAACUCCGUGCCAGCAGCCGCGGUAAUACGGAGGGGGUUAGCGUUGUUCGGAAUUACUGGGGCGUAAAGCGCGCGUAGGCGGAUCGGAAAGUUGGGGGUGAAAUCCCGGGGGCUCAACCCCGGAACUGCCUCCAAAACUAUCGGUCUAGAGUUCGAGAGAGGUGAGUGGAAUUCCGAGUGUAGAGGUGAAAUUCGUAGAUAUUCGGAGGAACACCAGUGGCGAAGGCGGCUCACUGGCUCGAUACUGACGCUGAGGUGCGAAAGUGUGGGGAGCAAACAGGAUUAGAUA
rnacentral:rRNA from 1 species